GCCUGGGUGGCUCAGUCGGUUGAGUGUCUGACUUCAGCUCAGGUCAUGAUCUCAAGGUCUGUGGGUUCGAGCCCCACAUCCAGCU
rnacentral:tRNA from 1 species